rnacentral:rRNA from 1 species
UACGGGGGGGGCAAGCGUUGUUCGGAAUUACUGGGCGUAAAGGGCUCGUAGGCGGCCAACUAAGUCGGACGUGAAAUCCCCAGGCUCAACCUGGGAACUGCGUCCGAUACUGGAUGGCUUGAAUCCGGGAGAGGGAUGCAGAAUUCCAGGUGUAGCGGUGAAAUGCGUUGAUAUCUAUCGGAAUGCCGAAGGUGAAAACAGGCCGCUGGGCUUGGUCUGACGCUGAGGUACGAAAGCGUGGGGAGCGAACGGG